rnacentral:rRNA from 1 species
AGGACGAACGCUGGCGGCGUGCCUAACACAUGCAAGUCGAACGGGGGUAGCAAUACCCUAGUGGCGAACGGGUGCGUAACACGUGAAGAACUUGUCCAUCGGCGGGGGAUAGCCGGCCCAACGGCCGGGUAAUACCGCGUACGCUUGUCGAGUGGCAUCACUUGACAAGGAAAGCAGCAAUGCACCGAUGGAGAGCUUCGCGGCCUAUCAGCUUGUUGGCGGGGUAAUGGCCCACCAAGGCAACGACGGGUAGCUGGUCUGAGAGGAUGAUCAGCCACAUUGGGACUGAGACACGGCCCAGACUCCUACGGGAGGCAGCAGUGGGGAAUAUUGCGCAAUGGGCGAAAGCCUGACGCAGCGACGCCGCGUGUGGGAUGACGGCCUUCGGGUUGUAACCACUGUCGCGAGGGACGAAAAAAAUGACGGUACCUCGAAAGGAAGCACCGGCUAACUCUGUGCCAGCAGCCGC